AGUGGAUUCACUAUCUGCACUACCUCUUUUCAAGAAAACAGGUUUUUGGCACUGUGGUGAGGAUGCAAAGAGAAAGUGGCUGCCUGCAAACCAGGAGGAGAGCCCUCACCAGGAACCAAUCUAGCUGACACUUUGAACUUGGACUUCAAACCUCCAGUAUUGUAAGAAAUAAAUAUGUUUUCAAAGUC
ensembl:lncRNA novel transcript